rnacentral:lncRNA from 1 species
CUUUGGCACGAAUUUAUUUAAGUUUUUUUGGUUCCAGUAAGCUUUUAUAAUGUUAUUUUGAAAGAUUUAGGCAAGUUAUUAUUAAUUUUUGCUAUGUAUAGCUUAUUAUACUCAUCAAUUAACAUGCAUGUAAGCAUUUUGUAUAUAAAGUACAACUAUACCUGAUGUAGAAUAUAAAUUAAAAUUCUUUUGUUUUUAUUUUUUUUUAUUUGAAAAGUACAACUAUACUUGCUGUAACAAUUGAAAAUUCUUUUGUUUUUAAUUUUUUUGUAAUUUAAAAAAUUAUAACAGAUAAAAUGAUAGAAAAUUUUAUUUUUUUUAAAAACGUUCAAAAUCUAUAUAUUGAUUCGAUUAGGAAGUAUAUAAUAACUAGAACAACGAGAAUAGUACCGCAAUUACAUCCAUAUUUUUUUAUUCUUUUACAAAAUAUCUAAUCAAAAUUUGUUUAGGAAAUCAAUUUUUGUUCCCCUGAUUCAUCGAAAACUUCGCGGUGCGACAAAUUUUGACAAAAUAAUUUGCGAAGAAAAAAUGGAUGUCUGUGGUGGAAGCGGAGGGCUCGGGCCGACAGGCCCGAGCCCGUAGCCCACCACUGACAUCCGAGGGGGUGCGGGGGCUUCGCCCCCGCAGUAGGAUCGGAUUUAUCAACUAAAAAUUUACUUUU